rnacentral:tRNA from 1 species
GGCCGCGUGGCCCAAUGGCUAAGGCGCCUGCCUACGGAGCAGGAGAUUCCAGGUUCGAGCCCUGGCGUGGUCG